rnacentral:rRNA from 1 species
UACGAAGGGGGCUAGCGUUGUUCGGAAUCACUGGGCGUAAAGAGCGCGCAGGCGGUCGUUCAAGUCGAGUGUGAAAGCCCCCGGCUCAACUGGGGAGGGUCAUUCGAUACUGAUCGACUCGAAGGCAGGAGAGGGUAGUGGAAUUCCCGGUGUAGUGGUGAAAUGCGUAGAUAUCGGGAGGAACACCAGUGGCGAAGGCGACUACCUGGCCUGUUCUUGACGCUGAGGCGCGAAAGCUAGGGGAGCAACGGGG